GUCCAGGGGCGGGAAUCGAACCCACAACCUUCUGCUUACCGGGCAGGUGCCAUGUCCACUAGGCUACCCCGGA
rnacentral:tRNA from 1 species